rnacentral:lncRNA from 1 species
UUGAAAUUAAUUUCAAACCUAAAUUUAGGCUUAAGCUCGGCUUGAAAUUAAUUCGAGCCGAGCUCGAGCGAGCCUAAUUUCGAGUCGAGCGAGCUCAAGCCCUAAACGAGCUGUUUGAAAUUCUUAACACCGUGCAAUCUAUAGUUUAAUUUUUAUAAAACAUUAUCUAAAAUUCGAUACAAAAAAUGUCUAAUAGCUCAACAUACAAAAUGAAUGCAUGAAAUACAAUAUUAUAAGAUUAAAAAAAAAGGAAAAGCGAUUCUGUGAGUGAGUGAAAAAGAGAGAAAAAGAGAGAAAUUAGAGUACAAUUUUGCUGGUUUGAUUUUGUGGGCCCAAUAAUCUAAAUUCUAUAUACAUAUAAUUAAAAUACAUAAUAUAUAUUAUUUUAUAUAAUUAAAAUAUAUAUUAUAUAUAAUUAUAUAGAGAGAGAGUUCGGCUACUAUACUCUUAUUAGUAUAGACCCCUUUAUACUCAUAAGUUUUCGAUUGUUAGAUCUAUACUUUUGACUAUUUCCAUCCGUAAAUCAUACUAUUCAACCAAUCAUCCACCCAAUCCUAGGGGACCACUAUCAUCCUAAUUGCACAUCCAACGGCCAAAAAUUUAUAAGUAUAAAAAGGUCUAUACUCAAAAGAGUAUAGUAGCCAUAGCCUAUAUAUAUAUAGAAUUAGAUUACUAUACUAUUAAUAGUACCAACCGCUUGUUAUUAAGUUUUCGGCCCUUAGAUGAAGGAAUGUGUGGUCAGGAUAAUUGUAGCCCCUUAGGGUUGAGGAGGUGAGUAGUUGAAUAGUAUGAUCUAAUGGAUGAAAAUGAUUAAAGAGGUAGAUCUAACGGUAGAAAACUCGAUAGCACCAAACGCUUGGUACUAUUGAUAGUAUAGUAACAGAACUCUAUAUAUAUAGAUAGAUCUAACGGCAGAUAACUCGAUAGCACAAAACGAUUGGUACUAUAAAUUGUAUAAUAGUCGGACUAUAUACAUAUAGAGAGAGAGUCCGGCUACUAUAUUAUCGAUAGUACCAAAUGCUUAGUACUGUCGAAUUUUUUACCGUUAGAUCUACCCCUUUGAGCAUUUUCACCCGAUAGAUCAUAUUAUUCAACUAAUCACCCACUCAACUCUAGAAAAUCACUAUCAUCAUAACCGCAUAUCCCUUCAUCCAAAGGCUGAAAACCUAAUAGCAAGUGAUUAGUACUAUUAAUAGUAUAGUAGACUAAUUCUAUAUAAAUAUACAUAUAUAU